rnacentral:lncRNA from 1 species
UGAAACCCGGCGGUCGGCUCGUCAUUGCCACCUGGUGCCAGCGUUCGACGCCGCCGGCUUUCACCGAAGAGGACCUGGUGAACCUUGACUACCUGUACAAGGAGUGGGCGCACCCGUACUUCAUAUCCAUCGAGGAAUACGCCUCACUGGUAGAGGGAACGACGACUAUGAGAGAUGUGGACACGGACGACUGGACGAGGCAGACGAUUGCGAGCUGGAGGCACUCCAUAUGGGCGGGUGUUUGGGAUCCGAUACCUGUGUUCUCACGCCCAAAUAUUUGGUACAAGACUCUCAGAGACAUAGUGUGCCUCGAGAGGAUGAGGCGCGCGUUCGGGCGAGGGCUCAUGCAGUACGGCAUGAUCAAGGGCGUCAAGGUCAAGGCUUCGAGAUGAGGCGGAUUGGGACGUAGAUGGGGUAGUCUGUUGCAUCUGAAAUACACUAUUUUUGUCGCCUGCACAAAAAGCUCCUAGUGUCCACCGUUGGUAACCUCGAGGUUUCAAAACGUAGAGCGCGGGGAGGCCCAUGGGAGGCUGGCGCGGGGGAGCGUGGCGACUGCCGCUGGUGGUCGUCGCGCUCCUAACAUGGUUAGCCGGAUGUGGUGGUGAUGCGGCCAUCACGGGUCCUCCAGGGUUCGUGGCGGGGUACCCGCGCAUCGAACGGGUCGGG